rnacentral:rRNA from 1 species
GUAGUCAUAUGCUUGUCUCAAAGAUUAAGCCAUGCAUGUCUAAGUAUAAGCAAUUUAUACAGUGAAACUGCGAAUGGCUCAUUAAAUCAGUUAUCGUUUAUUUGAUAGUUCCUUUACUACAUGGUAUAACUGUGGUAAUUCUAGAGCUAAUACAUGCUUAAAAUCUCGACCCUUUGGAAGGGAUGUAUUUAUUAGAUAAAAAAUCAAUGUCUUCGGACUCUUUGAUGAUUCAUAAUAACUUUUCGAAUCGCAUGGCCUUGUGCUGGCGAUGGUUCAUUCAAAUUUCUGCCCUAUCAACUUUCGAUGGUAGGAUAGUGGCCUACCAUGGUUUCAACGGGUAACGGGGAAU